rnacentral:rRNA from 1 species
AUUGAACGCUGGCGGCAUGCCUUACACAUGCAAGUCGAACGGUAACGGGCCUUCGGGUGCCGACGAGUGGCGAACGGGUGAGUAAUACAUCGGAACGUGCCCGAUCGUGGGGGAUAACGAGGCGAAAGCUUUGCUAAUACCGCAUACGAUCUACGGAUGAAAGCAGGGGACCGCAAGGCCUUGCGCGGACGGAGCGGCCGAUGGCAGAUUAGGUAGUUGGUGGGAUAAAAGCUUACCAAGCCGACGAUCUGUAGCUGGUCUGAGAGGAUGAUCAGCCACACUGGGACUGAGACACGGCCCAGACUCCUACGGGAGGCAGCAGUGGGGAAUUUUGGACAAAGGGCGCAAGCCUGAUCCAGCCAUGCCGCGUGCAGGAUGAAGGCCUUCGGGUUGUAAACUGCUUUUGUACGGAACGAAAAGCCUUCUUUUAAUACAGGAGGGUCAUGACGGUACCGUAAGAAUAAGCACCGGCUAUCUACGUG